GGUGUGGUAAGGCAUGAGGACUGUGUGCAGCACAGCCAGCUGGCAGCCGGCCUGGGUGGCCACGGGUCCAGCCUGAUGGUGCGGACACAGCAGGGUUUCCGCUGCCCUUUCCUUCCCAUUGUGCUGUCGUUUUCAAAGUGUUCCUUCUCUUUCUUCGUAGGCUACGUUUCCUGGUUAAGAAAUGGCAAGAGGUAGAUCGGAAAGGAGCCCCGCCACAAGGCAGAGCCCCCCACCCAGGGCCCCGAGUGCCACGGCAGCAGCUGCCUCCAUCAGAAACCAGAGUGACCCCACCAACCCAGGACCAGCCUUCUGACCUUGCCAGGGACCCUGCCCGAGGCUCUGGACCUGGGGCAGCAGCCUCCCCGAGCCGGAAGGAGAGGUCAGUUGUGCUUCAGCUUGCUUGCCUCCCUGCAGCCUGUGGCUCCUCAGCACUGGCCUAACCCAGAGCAAGGCUGGCUAGUUCUGUCUAGGAGUUCUGGGGACUCGCCAGGUGCAGAGGGAAAUGGCCUUGGGAUGAGGACAGCCAGGUGGGACUGGACAGCUUGUGCUUUGCCUAAGGAAGGGCAGGUGGGCCACCCUCAGGCUGUGGGAUGAAGGAUGCAGUUUGGCAAACAGAUGCAUAUUUGAUGGUUUAGUGAAUGAAGUAACAUGACAGUUUCGACUCUUAACUGUGAAGCAGUAUAGAAUUAGUUUUUAAAGCACUAUGUAGCAUUUUUUUAAAAAGUCUUGCUGUUCUCUCUGUGGUAAAGAAAGGACGUGAAAUGGCCCGAGGUGACAACUGCCCAGGAGCCUGGUCUGCAGCGCCUGGCUCUGUCUUCUUUGUACACAUUCACCAUGGUGCCAUCUGUUGGGUUCAACCUUUCCUUUUUUCUUUUCUCUCCUCAAUUGGUGGUUUGCUUGAAGAUCUGCUCCGUCCCCAAAUUCAAAAUUAGAAAGAGUUCUGGCUGCCUCUCAAGAUUCAGAACAUUCCUUGACAGAAUAUAUUCACCAUUUAGAAAUGAUCCAGCAGAGACUAGGAGGCACCCCACCAGGUAAUGACAGUUGUUGAAUUGCUUGUUAAAAAUUGCAUGACUCACCCUGGAAAUGUGAGCUGAUGUAGACAGGAGUGCUGGUAUCCACUCAAUCCUUGUUGGCUUCAGGCUUACACUCAGUUGGGGUGCAGCGUGGACAAGGAGACACUCAGGGUGCCGGUCAGUGUGGCUUAGGCCCCUGGACCUUUUGUCCUUUCUCUUAUAUUGAGAUUAUCCAGUGUUCCUUUCUAUUUUUUAAUAUGUGCUUAAAAAAUUACAUUUGUAUGUGUUUUUAGUUGUAGAUGGACACAAUACCUUUGUUUCAUUUAUUUAUUUCAUGGGG
rnacentral:lncRNA from 1 species